CUACGGGGUGCACCAGUGGGGAAUAUUGGACAAUGGGGGCAACCCUGAUCCAGCCAUGCCGCGUGUGUGAAGAAGGCCUUUUGGUUGUAAAGCACUUUAAGCAGUGAAGAAGACCUAACGGUUAAUACCCGUUAGCGAUGACAUUAGCUGCAGAAUAAGCACCGGCUAACUCUGUGCCAGCAGCCGCGGUAAUACAGAGGGUGCAAGGUUAAUCGGAAUUACUGGGCGUAAAGCGAGCGUAGGUGGCUUGAUAAGUCAGAUGUGAAAUCCCCGGGCUUAACCUGGGAACUGCAUCUGAUACUGUUAAGCUAGAGUAGGUGAGAGGGAAGUAGAAUUCCAGGUGUAGCGGUGAAAUGCGUAGAGAUCUGGAGGAAUACCGAUGGCGAAGGCAGCUUCCUGGCAUCAUACUGACACUGAGGCUCGAAAGCGUGGGUAGCAAACAGGAUUAGAUACCCGAGUAGUC
rnacentral:rRNA from 1 species